GGAAUAUUGCACAAUGGGGGGAACCCUGAUGCAGCGACGCCGCGUGAGCGAUGAAGUAUUUCGGCAUGUAAAGCUCUAUCAGCAGGGAAGAAAAUGACGGUACCUGACUAAGAAGCCCCGGCUAACCACGUGCCAGCAGCCGCGGUAAUACGUAGGGGGCAAGCGUUAUCCGGAUUUACUGGGUGUAAAGGGAGCGUAGACGGUCCUGCAAGCCAGAUGUGAAAGCCCGGGGCUCAACCCCGGGACUGCAUUUGGAACUGUAAGGCUAGAGUGUCAGAGAGGCAGGCGGAAUUCCUAGUGUAGCGGUGAAAUGCGUAGAUAUUAGGAGGAACACCAGUGGCGAAGGCGGCCUGCUGGACUGUAACUGACGUUGAGGCUCGAAAGCGUGGGGAGCAAACA
rnacentral:rRNA from 1 species